rnacentral:tRNA from 1 species
GGAUUAGUAGCUUAAUGGUAGAGCAACCAGUCAUUAGACUGAGUGAAUUGUUGGUUCGAGUCCAGCCUAAUCCU